CAGGCUUAACACAUGCAAGUCGAGGGGCAGCAUGGUCUUAGCUUGCUAAGGCCGAUGGCGACCGGCGCACGGGUGAGUAACGCGUAUCCAACCUGCCUUACACUCUUGGACAGCCUUCUGAAAGGGAGAUUAAUACAAGAUGUUAUCAUGAGUAAGCAUUUUCGCAUGAUUAAAGGUUUACCGGUGUAAGAUGGGGAUGCGUUCCAUUAGAUAGUAGGCGGGGUAACGGCCCACCUAGUCUUCGAUGGAUAGGGGUUCUGAGAGGAAGGUCCCCCACAUUGGAACUGAGACACGGUCCAAACUCCUACGGGAGGCAGCAGUGAGGAAUAUUGGUCAAUGGACGAGAGUCUGAACCAGCCAAGUAGCGUGAAGGAUGAAGGUUCUAUGGAUUGUAAACUUCUUUUAUACGGGAAUAAACGAAUCCACGUGUGGAUUUUUGCAUGUACCGUAUGAAUAAGGAUCGGCUAACUCCGUGCCAGCAGCCGCGGUAAUACGGAGGAUCCGAGCGUUAUCCGGAUUUAUUGGGUUUAAAGGGAGCGUAGAUGGGUUGUUAAGUCAGUUGUGAAAGUUUGCGGCUCAACCGUAAAAUUGCAAUUGAUACUGGCAGUCUUGAGUACAGUUGAGGUAGGCGGAAUUCGUGGUGUAGCGGUGAAAUGCUUAGAUAUCACGAAGAACUCCGAUUGCGAAGGCAGCUUACUAACCUGUAACUGACAUUGAUGCUCGAAAGUGUGGGUAUCAAACAGGAUUAGAUACCCUGGUAGUCCACACGGUAAACGAUGAAUACUCGCUGUAGGCGAUAUACAGUCUGCGGCCAAGCGAAAGCAUUAAGUAUUCCACCUGGGGAGUACGCCGGCAACGGUGAAACUCAAAGGAAUUGACGGGGGCCCGCACAAGCGGAGGAACAUGUGGUUUAAUUCGAUGAUACGCGAGGAACCUUACCCGGGCUUAAAUUGCAACCGAAUAUGGCGGAAACGCUAUAGCUAGCAAUAGCGGUUGUGAAGGUGCUGCAUGGUUGUCGUCAGCUCGUGCCGUGAGGUGUCGGCUUAAGUGCCAUAACGAGCGCAACCCUUGCCGAUAGUUACUAACAGGUCAUGCUGAGGACUCUGUCGGGACUGCCAUCGUAAGAUGUGAGGAAGGUGGGGAUGACGUCAAAUCAGCACGGCCCUUACGUCCGGGGCUACACACGUGUUACAAUGGGGGGUACAGAGGGCUGCUACCACGCAAGUGGAUGCCAAUCCCAAAAACCUCUCUCAGUUCGGAUUGAAGUCUGCAACCCGACUUCAUGAAGCUGGAUUCGCUAGUAAUCGCGCAUCAGCCACGGCGCGGUGAAUACGUUCCCGGGCCUUGUACACACCGCCCGUCAAGCCAUGGGAGCCGGGGGUACCUGAAGUGCGUAACCGCAAGGAGCGCCCUAGGGUAAAACUGGUGACUGGCG
rnacentral:rRNA from 1 species